rnacentral:rRNA from 1 species
AACGCGAAGAACCUUACCUGGGUUUGACAUCUCCGGACCGGCGUAGAGAUACGCACUUCAUAGCAAUAUGACCGGAAGACAGGUGCUGCAUGGCUGUCGUCAGCUCGUGUGGUGACAUGUUGGGUUAAGUCCCGCAACGAGCGCAACCCCUGUCCUUAGUUGCCAGCAUUGAGUUGGGCACUCUAAGGAGGCUGCCGUGGUGAACACGGAGGAAGGUGGGGAUGACGUCAAGUCCUCAUGGCCUUUAUAUCCAGGGCGACACACGUGAUACAAUGGACGGUACAAAGGGAUGCGAAGGGGCGACCCGGAGCCAAUCUCAAAAAGCCGUUCUCAGUUCGGAUUGGAGUCUGCAAUUCGACUCCAUGAAGUUGGAAUCGCUAGUAAUCGCGGAUCAGCACGCCGCGGUGAAUACGUUCCCGGGCCUUGUACACACCGGUACUA